UACGAAGGGGGGCUAGCGUUGCUCGGAAUCACUGGGCGUAAAGCGCACGUAGGCGGCUUUCUAAGUCAGGGGGUGAAAUCCUGGAGCUCAACUCCAGAACUGCCUUUGAUACUGGAGAGCUUGAGUCCGGAAGAGGUGAGUGGAACUCCGAGUGUAGAGGUGAAAUUCGUAGAUAUUCGGAAGAACACCAGCGGCGAAGGCGGCUCACUGGUCCGGUACUGACGCUGAGGUGCGAAAGCGUGGGGAGCAAACAGG
rnacentral:rRNA from 1 species